rnacentral:rRNA from 1 species
UAACGCGAAGAACCUUACCAGGUCUUGACAUCCUUUGACCACUCUAGAGAUAGAGCUUCCCCUUCGGGGGCAAAGUGACAGGUGGUGCAUGGUUGUCGUCAGCUCGUGUCGUGAGAUGUUGGGUUAAGUCCCGCAACGAGCGCAACCCUUAUUGUUAGUUGCCAUCAUUCAGUUGGGCACUCUAGCAAGACUGCCGGUGACAAACCGGAGGAAGGUGGGGAUGACGUCAAAUCAUCAUGCCCCUUAUGACCUGGGCUACACACGUGCUACAAUGGGAAGUACAACGAGUUGCGAAGUCGCGAGGCUAAGCUAAUCUCUUAAAGCUUCUCUCAGUUCGGAUUGCAGGCUGCAACUCGCCUGCAUGAAGCCGGAAUCGCUAGUAAUCGCGGAUCAGCACGCCGCGGUGAAUACGUUCCCGGGUCUUGUACACACCGA